AUUCCAGCUCCAAUAGCGUAUAUUAAAGUUGUUGCAGUUAAAACGCUCGUAGUCGGAUUUCGGGGCGGGCCGACCGGUCUGCCGAUGGGUAUGCACUGGCCGGCGCGUCCUUCCACCCGGAGACCGCGCCUACUCUUAACUGAGCGGGCGCGGGAGACGGGUCUUUUACUUUGAAAAAAUCAGAGUGUUUCAAGCAGGCAGUCGCUCUUGCAUGGAUUAGCAUGGGAUAAUGAAAUAGGACUCUGGUGCUAUUUUGUUGGUUAGAGGCCAAGGUAAUGAUUAAUAGGGAUAGUUGGGGGUAUUCAUAUUUAAUUGUCAGAGGUGAAAUUCUUGGAUUUAUGAAAGAUGAACUCAUGCGAAAGCAUUUACCAAGGAUGUUUUCAUCA
rnacentral:rRNA from 1 species